ACCUACUUUGGAGCAGGGUUGAAAGGACAACAGAGCUGAGUCGCCCUGUGUGAAGAAGCUGGGCUGGAGAUGUCCAGGCAGAAGCAGGACAAGAGGAGCUCAGGAGGAGAGGGGUGUGUGACUCAAGGGGGAGGCAUCAUGUUUCUGAUCCCUGACAUCCUUUCACUCUAGGGCAGGGUGAGCCAUUCCUGAUGAGGAGAUACACAAGCAACUCCCAGAGGGACUCUCCAUGAAAAGGAUUUUCAGGUCACAGGUGUAACCAAGAGCAGCAGAGCAUUUGAGUGGCUAAAUCCAACCGAAAGCAACCCUCCCUCUCAUCAGUGGGCCCCAGUGAUCUGCAAGUGAUCUUGAGGGCCCCUCAAGAAAGGCAGAUGGGAAAAAAAGGCAGAAACAGACUUUCUUCAGUCAAGUUGCACAGAACAGUCUAUAGCCUUUGAUAUUAAAAUUCUUCAGUUAUUCGAGCUGAGUGCUUGUAAAUAAAAUCAGAUAGAAGAAACCAAUUAAAAGCAUGAGGUCCAGAACCACACAGGCAGGGCUCAAAUCCCACCCCUCCCUCACUUCCUGUGCGGUGCUAAUCUCCAUGUGUCUUAAUUCCCUUAUUGUAAUAUGGGAAUCAUAAUAGUCCCUAAACUCAUAAGAACAGUUUUGAGAUUUAAGAAUGGGAGUAUAUCUAAAUUCCUUAGCAGAGUGCCUGGCACAUAAUAAGUCCUCAUUAGAUAUCAGCUACUAUAUCAUCGCCAUCAUCAUCAUCAGGCUAGUAAGUGCAAUGGUGUCUAUUUCCCAGGUUUCUGGGCCACGGAGUCCACAUGGCUUAAAGGGACAUAAGAUGAGCUGAUUAAUAGCUAGAAGACAGCUCCCAUACUCAGGUCAUGCUUAGCAUGGGCCCACUGAGGAUGUGAAUACGCAGCAACAGCAGGACACCUGGUCACAUUCAUAGGAGCAGACGCUGAGGAUUUGUUUAUGAACAGGACUGACGAGAUCCCUACUCACUCAGAGCUUACAUUCAAUGAGAGCAGACAGAAAAUAAACAAGGAAAAAGCCCUGCUGGUUUGGAUGUGAGGUGUGACGGGAAGAGAGGACUCAAGAUUGUCCGAGAAACUGAGGAUAUGAUGUCAUUUACUGAACAGGAAGAAAGGGUUUCAAAAGUAUUGAGAGAUGUGCAUGAGACACAUGGUUUAGGAAAAGGAAACUAAUUAUCGUCUCAGAUCCAUUUGUAAUGAAGUAAUGUCUCCAGAAUUGCCAUUGACAUGCUACCUUCUUUGGUGGCAGGUCUUGCAAAACCAAGGUCUAAUUUCGGACAGAGCUGCACCCUAGGAGCAGGGGCAAACUGGAAGUCGAUGACCCUCACGCCAACCAAAGCUCAGCUUCAAAUUAUCUCAAUGCCUAAAAUUGGAAUAACAUGAAGGAACCAGACAGAAACAAUGUCAGUCCACUCUAGAAGAAGAUGACAUCUUCCUAGGCCUCCAGUUGUUUCUAUAAUUUUCCAAAUGCAAAGUCUGGCAUAUUAAAAAAAAACAACCCUCGCAUAAAACGACCACAAAAUAUGAAUGAAAACCAGCAGAAACAACAGACAUACAGGGGCUUGAGAUAAUAGAGUUUUCAGAUAUGGACUCAGUAAGUGCUGGGGAAAAAAAUAGUUUGAACUCUGGAGCUAUACUGGUCAGAAAAGGAAAGGAUUGUUAACACACCAAACUGUGGCUUCUAGUCACUAGCCAGUCAGAGGUUGUCCUCUCUUCCCUCAUCCCUCCUUAAAACCACUCAGCACAAAAGCACAAACCCAAACUUUACAGGAAGCCCUUACCUCCCUCCCUUGCUGCAGCAAACUGCGCCCCGCUAAUUUUUCUAUUUUUAGUAGAGACGGGGUCCCACCCUAGCUCAGGUUGGUCUGUUACUCCUGAGCUCAAGUGAUCCUCCCGCCUCAGCCUCUCAGAGUGCUAGGAUUACAGGCAUGAAUGAGCCACCGUGCCUGGCCCACUUUUUUGCCUUAAGUAAUGGUUAGUUUGAAUUGUUCACCUACCUCCUUGUGGCUAUGAUUUGCCUGGUAUUGUCUCAUGCACUCACUCUCAUCCUUGCUCUCUCUCUCUCUCUUUUUCCAACCUCCUUAUGUCAUUUUUCUUAAGGAGCCAGGCUACAUAUGGAACAUUUAUUUUUUCAUUUCUGGUUGCCACAUCUUAGCACGUUGGUAAUUUCAAAAGUAUCCAGGGAAGGAAAAUAAGGACUAUGAAGGAUCCGAAACCAUGGCAAAUGAAUAAAUUCAGAACAGCAGUGCACCAAAAGAAAACCUACAGGGAGUAUGAUGGUUGCCUUCAAAUGUCACAAGGUUCUGUGAAAGUGCUAUUGGAACCUGGAAUUUGAAAAAUAGAAAAAUUAUUCUCCUUGUCCAAUCUCUUUAUUCUACAAACCAGGAAAGUUAGGCUCAGAGAGAGGCUAAAUUAAAAUUCUGACUCAAAGUCACAGAGCAGUUCCUUGCUCAGUUGGAAUUAUAAUACUGAACUUCUGGUUCAAGUUAGUCAUGUUCUUUAUAGCUACAGGAAGACUGACUUAGUGCCUUGUAAGAAAUUUCUAGUAAUUAGAGUGCUUCAAAUAUGGAAUGGACGACUAUUGAAGGAUGAAUUGUGUCUCUCAAAAAGACACAUUAAUCAUGUCCCUGUAAUCCCAGCUAUUCAGGAGGCUGAGGCAGGAGGAUAGGUUGAGCUCAGGACAGGCGUUUAAGGCCGGCCUGGGUAACACAGCAAGACCUUGUCUCUAAUAAUUAAUUAAUUAAUUAAUGUUAAGUCCUAAUCUUUAAUACCAGCCAAUGUGAACUUAUUUGAAAAUAGAAUCUUUGUAGAUGUAUACAAAUUGCAUUCAUACUGGAUUAGAGUGUUCAUAUAAGAAGACAGAAAUUUGCAUACAGACACAGAGGGAAGACGGCCAUGUUUAGACAGAGGCAGAGUUUGGAGUGAUGCAUCUAGAAGCCAAGGAACACCAAGGAUUGCUGGCAACUGCCAGCAGCUAGAAAGACGUAAGCCCUAGAGCCUUCAGAGAGGUCACAGUGGUAGUGACACCUUGAUUUCAGACUUCUGGCAUCCAGA